UACUGGAUGUCACUAGAAAAUUACAUCAGUAAAUUGCAAUGGAUACUUUAGUGUACAAAUGUUACUGAGUGCAGAACAAGAGUCCCGGCAGAUUGUUGCAAGUGCCAAAAACACAAUAAUGAAUGUUUAAGAAUUGACAGUGUGCACGACAAGAGAGUGAAGGAGAUGAAUCAUAGUAUUCAAGAAGGAAGAAAAUAGAACCGUGAAAAUUAUAAAGAUAUCUGAUUUCGCAAAACUUUAAUGGGUUCAGUUCUUGGUGCUUGGGGUUUGAUA